rnacentral:rRNA from 1 species
GAUGAACGCUGGCGGCGUGCCUAAUACAUGCAAGUCGAGCGAACAGACGAGGAGCUUGCUCCUCUGACGUUAGCGGCGGACGGGUGAGUAACACGUGGAUAACCUACCUAUAAGACUGGGAUAACUUCGGGAAACCGGAGCUAAUAUCGGAUAAUAUAUUGAACCGCAUGGUUCAAUAGUGAAAGACGGUUUUGCUGUCACUUAUAGAUGGAUCCGCGCCGCAUUAGCUAGUUGGUAAGGUAACGGCUUACCAAGGCGACGAUGCGUAGCCGACCUGAGAGGGUGAUCGGCCACACUGGAACUGAGACACGGUCCAGACUCCUACGGGAGUCAGCAGUAGGGAAUCUUCCGCAAUGGGCGAAAGCCUGACGGAGCAACGCCGCGUGAGUGAUGAAGGUCUUCGGAUCGUAAAACUCUGUUAUUAGGGAAGAACAAAUGUGUAAGUAACUAUGCACGUCUUGACGGUACCUAAUCAGAAAGCCACGGCUAACUACGUG